AAAAAAAAGAGAUCUGUUUGCGGAGCUGUGUGGUAUGUUAUUGAUCGAUUUAUUGUUAAAACGAGCAAGGGUAGAAGUUAUGUAAUGCAGAAAAAUGUCACAACAUUAUGAAGUAAAGGACAAUCAUCUUUCUGCUGAACUUCACCUGGCGAAGCGCCUAAUUGGAAGACCAAAACGGGCAUUAACAUUUCUGUCAACUACAUGAGUGAUGCACUUGUAAUGUGGUCAUACCCAUAGACCGUACUUAUACAGUUUAUGGUCAUACCAGGAGUUUCCCCGGAUUAAUUCAAGCUAUCUUUGCAUGUCACAUCAGUUACGAAGUUUGUCGUUUGUAACGUUACAUGGGAUAACGACGUAACGUUACCCAAGGAUCAGAUGUGGUGACAAAGAACCAGCAACUUUGCUCUGCAAUUAGCUAGCUACCUAGCUAGCUAGCUAGCUAACGUUACUGGACACUGGAGCUGUGAUUAAACAAGGAUCACAACUGUGUUCUUCCGUGACCGGUUAUUGGCAGAAGAGAAGUCCUCCUCUUAUGAUUGAGGGCAACGCUGUGCCAAAGAAUGUAUCUACAAAUUGGAAUAACAAGAAUGCCUCCAACCACACGACCGCUGUGCCCUUGAAGGAGGCCAAUCAAUGAGACCUUGCAGGAUGAUGGGAGGCUCUGAUGAUUGGCGAGGAAAGGAAAAAUAAAAUGAGGGAGGAUUCUGAUUGGCUAACGUGGGCUUGAGCUUCUCGUUACACUGCCACCUACAGAUUUGGCACCUCUUGACGGCAUUAACGGCAUAUUCACACAGGUACGUGUAACCGAACACUUUUCUGAAAACUGACAGCUGUGCACAAGUAUUUUUUUUUGAAAAUGGAGAAGUUGAAAUGUCCGUUUAUGAAAAUAGCCGCUCACGUGUAAACGUAGCAGGUUUCAAAAGCAUUGCAGCGC